rnacentral:rRNA from 1 species
GACGAACGCUGGCGGCGUGCCUAAUACAUGCAAGUCGAGCGAGAGCGACCGGUGCUUGCACUGGUCAAUCUAGUGGCCAACGGGUGAGUAACACGUGGGUAACCUGCCCAUCAGAGGGGGAUAACAUUCGGAAACGGAUGCUAAAACCGCAUAGGUCUUCGAACCGCAUGGUUUGAAGAGGAAAAGAGGCGCAAGCUUCUGCUGAUGGAUGGACCCGCGGUGCAUUAGCUAGUUGGUGAGGUAACGGCUCACCAAGGCCGUGAUGCAUAGCCGACCUGAGAGGGUGAUCGGCCACAUUGGGACUGAGACACGGCCCAAACUCCUACGGGAGGCAGCAGUAGGGAAUCUUCCGCAAUGGACGCAAGUCUGACGGAGCAACGCCGCGUGAGUGAAGAAGGUUUUCGGAUCGUAAAACUCUGUUGUUAGAGAAGAAUAAGUGCUAGAGUAACUGUUAGCGCCUUGACGGUAUCUAACCAGAAAGCCACGGCUAACUACGUG